rnacentral:tRNA from 1 species
GCGAUAUUAGUUUAAUGGUAGAACUUCUGCCUUCCAAGCAGACGGUGAGGGUUCGACUCCCUCAUUUCGCU